AUGAUACCGCCCUCGGGGUCCCAGCUUAGUCUGGGAAGGGCCUUUCAUAAACAUCCCCAUUCGGGCUUUAAAUUCCAAUGAGCCAGAGCUCUGGUGCGAAGUGUCUGCAGACCCUUGGCUACUUCGGAAGCAAAAUGUCUGUCUCAACAGGACUGCUGGAGAUGCUUAAGUGACAUAAUGGAUGGAAACUUCCUGAAAAAGAGAAGCAAGGCAACCAAAGAGGAUAAAAGCCUCGGCGGCUGCCGUGGGAACCGCGCUGUCGGGACUCGGCUACCCCUCGCCGGGAGGCCGUGCGAAGCAGCUCCCCGGGCAGCUCCCGGUCGCCUGGCGGCCGAGGCCGUGCCCGUGCCUUUUCCCUGCGGGGCCGCGGAGAGCGGAAGGCGGCAUCCAUCGCCCGCAAGGCCUGAGCGUCCGCUGCCCACCGGCCCAGCACAGGUGAAAAAAAAAGGGGGGUGCGCGAUCGCCCCGGCGCGGAGAGAGGAGGGGAAGCUCCACCGGUCCUGGGCGGCUCCCCGUUUGGGGAAUCGAGGACUGCGUGGCGGGGGAAGGAGCACUCCGGUGGCCCGGCUGCCUGAGGGAGGAGGUGGGGUUCUGCUGGAUGCUGCCCAAUGGGUAGGAUUUGCCUGGAUUGAGAAGGGGGCGUUUUCGGGGAGAGGGGGCACGGGGUCGGGGUGGGGGUACGGACGCAAACUGUCUUGCCUUGAACCCCCUUGGCAUCUCCUCCUCUGGAGAGGAGUAUGUGGGUGUGCGUGUCCAACUCCUAUUCCCUGUCUCCGUGGCAGGCCAUUAAAGCCGGAUGCGAACUUGGAUUCUGUGUGGCUGAUUGCGGAGCUGGUAGGCCGACCAUUUCCCGGGGGAGAUGUCCUGGGGCGGGGGUCGCUUUGGCUCGUCCUCAGAAGGUGGGAGAGGAAUUUUCCGCCCGCCGCCCGCGGAGGCGGCGGCGGGGUGGGGGGGGAGCUGGGGUGGUGCGGGGAGGGAGGGAGGGGGAUGAGGGAUGAGGCCGCUCCUGACCCUGCCCUCCCCUGCCCUCCGCGGCGGCGCAGUCUGGACGCCCCGAGGUCCCGGAUCGGCGACCCCCGGUGGACAGAGAACUAGCGUAGCCGGACGACGAGCUUUCGCACCAAGGCCACCGGUUGCAGAAGCUGGGAGUGAAAUAAAGGCGCGCGCGCCGGGUCCUGCGCUCCUGUAAGAUUCUGAGAAAUAACGGGGGAGGGGAGAACUUUGAGAAGGGGGUGUGGCUGGGACCUGAGGCCAGGAGGUUAAGGAGACCAGACCUUAUUUAUUCCUACAAAUCUGUGACCACUGUGCUCUAUUUUGAGAGCCCAAUGUCAGCUUCCAUACACUCUCAUACUUAGAAUUAGAAGCAACAGUUGCCCUCCUGGACGACUGGCGGGAGGGGAUGGAUGUGGCUGUAAAAAGCACCCUGCUAGCACAGAGACACCGGCUGGCUCCGUGAGGUUGUAAUUGCCAGUCUCCUAGAAGAUAUUUUUAGGGCAGUGGGCAGAUAUAAAAUGUACUGCAGGACAUUCGGGAAGGGAGAAACCCAAUUGCAGCCAGUUCCCUUCUUAACUCCUCCCCGUUGUUUUUCUUUUUCACAGCCCCUACCGAGAUAGGAAGAAGGCAGAGUGCCCCAGCGCGCCCGCAGGUUAGGCUUCCCCACAAAGCCUGAGCAGCUUGUUGUGUUCGGAUACCGGAGCGUCG
rnacentral:lncRNA from 1 species